rnacentral:rRNA from 1 species
UGCGUAGGUGGUUUCUUAAGUCAGAGGUGAAAGGCUACGGCUCAACCGUAGUAAGCCUUUGAAACUGGGAAACUUGAGUGCAGGAGAGGAGAGUGGAAUUCCUAGUGUAGCGGUGAAAUGCGUAGAUAUUAGGAGGAACACCAGUUGCGAAGGCGGCUCUCUGGACUGUAACUGACGCUGAGGCUCGAAAGCGUGGGGAGCAAACA